GAUGAACGCUGGCGGCGUGCCUAAUACAUGCAAGUCGAGCGAACAGACGAGGAGCUUGCUCCUCUGACGUUAGCGGCGGACGGGUGAGUAACACGUGGAUAACCUACCUAUAAGACUGGGAUAACUUCGGGAAACCGGAGCUAAUACCGGAUAAUAUAUUGAACCGCAUGGUUCAAUAGUGAAAGACGGUUUUGCUGUCACUUAUAGAUGGAUCCGCGCCGCAUUAGCUAGUUGGUAAGGUAACGGCUUACCAAGGCAACGAUGCGUAGCCGACCUGAGAGGGUGGUCGGCCACACUGGAACUGAGACACGGUCCAGACUCCUACGGGAGGCAGCAGUAGGGAAUCUUCCGCAAUGGACGAAAGCCUGACGGAGCAACGCCGCGUGAGUGAUGAAGGUCUUCGGAUCGUAAAACUCUGUUGUUAGGGAAGAACAAAUGUGUAAGUAACUAUGCACGUCUUGACGGUACCUAAUCAGAAAGCCACGGCUAACUACGUG
rnacentral:rRNA from 1 species